rnacentral:rRNA from 1 species
AUGUUAGAAUCAAUUCCAACUGACAUGUUUGGGAAAUUUCAUUUCGUUGAAGAAUUGUCUAUAACCUAUUGUCCAAACAUCCGCCUCCAAAGAUUGGUUUCGCCGUCCCUCAAAAAGCUCUUUCUGUGGGAUUCUAGUCCCUUUUGCAAUAUUGAUUGCUGCUCCCUCAUCUCCUUUGAUUUUCUAUCUGACUCUGUCGUGUCCAUUGAACUACAAACAUGGAGUCUUCCAGCUCUACGGAGGUUGAAAAUUCGCUGUAAUUCCAUUUCUACGGGCACUGGUUGCAUUAGACCAUUCUCGUCCCUUGCAGCCCUAGACGUUGAGUUAUAUGGUAAAUUGUCAAGCCUUGAUGACCUCCUAACACAAGAAUACCUACCUGCUAUUGAGGAAAUUGACGUCAAAUGUUGUCCUGGGUUACUGUCCCUGCCAGUUGAAAGGUUUGUGGGUUUUCCUCAUCUGAAACAUCUGGUGGUUAUUAAUUGCCCAAGUCUUAACUGGCAAAGGGGGCUGGUAUUGCCAUCAUAUCUCCAAAGGCUAAGCUUAAGGAACUGCGGGGAUAUCUCUCCAUAUGUUCCCAGCUGCCUACAGAACCUCACAUCCCUCAUCUCUCUGAGCAUUGGUGGGUGCCAGGGUAUAACAUCCAUUCCAGGUGACAUUUGGAGAGGUAAUCUUGCAUCACUUGAGGAACUUAGGAUUUGGGAAUGUCCAAACCUAGUUUCAUUUGGUGGAGCAGAGGCAGUUGCAUACAUAAAGAAGGUUCAGAUAUACAAAUGUCCAAAGUUAAAGGAAGCAGAUCAAAUCGUUAGAUGA